GUCCCCAUCGUCUAGAGGCCUAGGACACUGCCCUUUCACGGCGGCAACACCGGUUCGAAUCCGGUUGGGGACGCCA
rnacentral:tRNA from 3 species